ACCGCCCCGCGGCGGCCGCGAGAGCGGCACGUGGGGCUCGGGGGCGGGGUUUGUUUUCCGCUCCCGCUCGGCCGCGCCGCGAGGGCGGUCACGUGAGGCGCGCGCCAUGGCGGCUCCGGCGGACGGCGCCGACCUGGAGGCCUCGCUGCUGAGCUUCGAGAAGCUGGACCGCGCCUCCCCGGACCUGUGGCCCGAGCAGCUGCCCGGCGUUGCCGAGUUCGCCGCCUCCUUCAAAAGCCCCAUUACAAGUUCUCCUCCCAAGUGGAUGGCUGAAUUAGAAAAUGAUGAUAUUGAUAUGUUGAAGGAGUUGGGGAGCCUUACUACAGCUAAUCUGAUGGAAAAAGUUCGUGGUCUGCAGAACCUGGCUUAUCAACUGGGACUGGAUGAAUGAGUGUUGGGUGAUUGCAGUGAUCUUCAGUGUCAGUGUAACAGUUUCCUGAAGCGCAGCUUGGAGUGUCUGCAUGUGCCUCCAGUGAAGGUGACUGACCUUGUUUUCACUAGCCACUGCUCUCCUGAGAUGGCAGUUCAACUCUCUCUGAAAUUGGGCUUGGGGUAGAAUUCACUGCUAGAGAAAUGACUCGAGGGAAAUUCCUGAACAUCCUAGAGAAACCCAAGAAGUAACUGCAUCUAACAUUUGGAUGAAAAUACCCCAACUAAGUAGUUUUAUGUACUGCAGAUCCAGAUGAAGCCCAGAAAGUCUAAGAAGAACAAAGCUCUUGCUGUAGACCUUCAGAAGCAAGCAUCUCUUUUUGCUUCCACAGCUCAUCUCUUCAUGGGAGAAAUGUACAAUAUGCAGAGGUCACAGGGACUGCAGUUGGUUGCACUGGAAUUCGGACUUCAUCUGACCGUAGGAUGUCCAGCAGGAGGACUUGGCCCUGACAUGCUGUGACACAGUUACUUGUUUCCAUCAGCAGCUCAAAGUGAACAGCCAGUGUCCUUACUCAGCUGCUCUCAGGGGCAGCCUGUUUGAGGUACACAGCAGAUCUGACACUGGCCAGUGUCCAUCAUGAGGCCUUGACCUUUGGUGUGUCUUCUGUCUCAGAUGCAUUGAUUUCCUGUGUGCAACGUCUGUGCUGAAGGAUUUGAGCAUAGUUUGGGGUGUGGAUAGACCAGGAGCACCAGCAUUCAGCAGGAGCACAUGCUUUUAGUGUAGAAGCCAAGUGCAGUCUCUGCAUCAGAUUCCAGCUGCCCACUGCCUUCAGAGAAGCACAUGUGGUACCCCGAGGAAGAGCUCCAGACCUUUCGUGUGCCAGGAGCUUCAUUUCGCUGCUGAGUGGUUCUCUAAGUGAAAUUGAAACAGACCACAGGGAGUAAGAAGUGUUACUGUGUCUCCAGGAAAAUAUCCUCACUGAAGCUUUGGCCAGUACACAAAGAAACAGCUUUGUCAGUCCUCUGCAAUUCUUUGCUUCUUGUAGGGCUAGAAACUUGAACGAGUUCUAAAGUUGAAAGAUGGUAAUGUUUUCAGUUAUCACUCCAAGAAGUGGCAUCAGAACUGUUAGCCACAUGGUGAAGAUGGUCUGCCUAUACAGGAUCUCAAUGUUUCUGAAAAUAAUGUUUUGUGGUAUUUUUUAAUUGCUUAUAAACCAGCACCUCAAAAUUUUCUUCUCCUACAAACCCAGAAUUUUAAAGAUAAAAAUUUCUGUGAGCUGCUUGCUUUCAGAAUACUGUGAUUACCAUUUAAUGCCUUUUUCUUCUGUUCAUGCAAUUCUACAUAUUCACCCUUUGGAAGAGGUAUAGAGCAUGUUCAGACUUUUGGUUUUAUUUAAGAAAAUCUUUUUUUUAUUCCAUCCUCUUUCCUUUUCCUAGAGAAAAACAUUUUAAGCAUUAGUAAAUAUGUUCUUUUUUAGGAUACAAUACAAUGUUGAAACAUAACAUAAUAUAAUGUUAUAUUUACCAUGCGGGCUUUUCAAAACGUGUCAUUUCUCAGGCUGUAGUCACAGAUGAGAGGAGAAAUUAUUUGGAAAUAGUACAUGUAACAGGCUGUCCUUACAGCACUGCAUUUUUCUGGCUUUGCAGAGAGAGGGGACUCUUUUUGGGUGUGUGUGCAAUAAAGAGGGGGAGAUUUUUUUGAUCAAAUAGACUUCUGAGUUUUACUGAAUUGCUGGUGACCCUUUGGUUUGCAGUCUGUGGUUUUUGGUUAUUGCCACUCAAAACUAGUCUUGUUUUGGACAGCUCUGAUUAACUAAGUUUAAGUAGUUAAAUCCUACAUCCUGGAAAGACCCUGCACAAAUUUAGAAAUAUCAGGAGCCUGAUUUAAGACUUAACAGAGUUAUUUCUGUCCUUCAGAGUUUAUGCAGGGCUGAGCUUAACAGGAACUCCAUCCCUUGAGAACAUGAGAAUUAAGAGAGAUGAAUGAGAAGAGAAGCUGAAAGUGGUAGUUCAGGAAUAGAAAAAAACCCGAUGGUGCAAACUGAUGUUGAUGUAGCUUUAGGCUUGAAUUAUAGAUUUGGAAUGCAAAUUCAAGUUUGCAUACUAUAUAUGUAAUAUAUGUACACAUAUAUGAUGUAAUGGGAUACUUGAUCUGUAUCACCAGUAUUUUAUAGAGGUUUCUUUGUCCAAUACAUUAAGGAAUUGACAUCUGAAAGGAGGAUAUAGGAAAAUAUAUGAAAGCCUCUCCUGGAAGUAUAUGUGUAUUUUCUGAUAUGUGCCGUAAGAAAUUUCAAACUCUAGGUGGUUUUUAGUAACAUACAUAUGUUAAAAAAAAAGAAAAAAGAAAAAUCUCCUUUUGUUAUACACAGUAAUCAUCUUGUAUAGGGCAGCCAUUAACAUAUGCUUUAGAAUUGUGAUUUUUUUUGACUUUGUACUUAUCAUCUGUAGAGAUAAGUCAAUGAUGUUAUUUUUUAUUGACAAUAUGUAUAUGUAUUUUUGUGUGUUAGCCAGAGAAAUUUUUUCUGUCUGUUAUUGCUUUUUGGUUUAAUAAUAUGCAAAUGCAAACCUCAGAGGUUUGUCUGGGUUUCCAAAAUAGCCGUCUGAUAGCAACCCAAUAGUGGCUUUUGCUUGGCCACUUAGGCAAUACUAUUCCUCAGGCUCUUCUUCACUUAUCUGCAUGACACCAUCUCAGGGUUUGGCCUGUGGAUGUUCCAUUCCCAUCAGUAAAUAAAUAUUUGUCAAUAUACAAAUGCUACUAAGGGUUUUUGUACCCUUUUGAACCCAAUUUUUUCCUUCAGUGCUAUUCUUCCUGACAUCCAUGCAGUUAUCUAUCUGUACAAGAAAAUCUGAAUGACUUUUUGUUACUAAUGGGAAUGAAGAGUGUAAGAAAAUCAAGAUUUGGUAAUAUUAAUCAAGCUGAUGCAUUGUUUUAUAAAGUGUUUUCAUGUAUUGGUAUAUUAGAUGUUACUGUGAGUUUCCUGGAAGUAAACUCAAUAUUUAUUUGGUUCCUUUUAAAUGCCAGUCUUACAUACAUUCAGUUAGAAAGGCUAUUCACUUUGGUGUUGGACUAUCAAAUGCUUUGCUAUCUCAUCCAGCUGAGAAGAAAUUCUUGUUUGUUAUGUUAAUCAUUAUGAAAAUAAAAGUCUGUGUGCACUGGCAAUUGAA